ACGAACGCUGGCGGCGUGCUUAACACAUGCAAGUCGAACGGAAAGGCCCCUUCGGGGGUACUCGAGUGGCGAACAGGUGAGUAACACGUGAGUAACCUGCCCUUGACUUCGGGAUAACUUCAGGAAACUGGGGCUAAUACCGGAUAGGAAUCCUUGCUGCAUGGUGGGGGUUGGAAAGCUUCGGCGGUUUUGGAUGGACUCGCGGCUUAUCAGCUUGUUGGUGGGGUAGUGGCUUACCAAGGCUUUGACGGGUAGCCGGCCUGAGAGGGCGACCGGCCACAUUGGGACUGAGAUACGGCCCAGACUCCUACGGGAGGCAGCAGUGGGGAAUAUUGCACAAUGGGCGGAAGCCUGAUGCAGCAACGCCGCGUGCGGGAUGACGGCCUUCGGGUUGUAAACCGCUUUCAGCAGGGGCGAAGCUUGUGGUGACGGUACCUGCAGAAGAAGCACCGGCUAACUACGUG
rnacentral:rRNA from 1 species